rnacentral:rRNA from 1 species
AACGAACGCUGGCGGCAGGCCUAACACAUGCAAGUCGAACGCUCCGCAAGGGGAGUGGCGCACGGGUGAGUAACACGUGGGAACCUACCUUCUGGUACGGAACAACCAAGGGAAACUUUGGCUAAGACCGUAUACGACCUCCGGGUGAAAGAUUGAUCGCCGGAAGAGGGGCCCGCGUCCGAUUAGGUAGUUGGUGAGGUAACGGCUCACCAAGCCUUCGAUCGGUAGCUGGUCUGAGAGGAUGACCAACCACACUGGGACUGAGACACGGCCCAGACUCCUACGGGAGGCAGCAGUGGGGAAUAUUGGACAAUGGGCGCAAGCCUGAUCCAGCCAUGCCGCGUGAGUGAUGAAGGCCUCGGUUGUAAG